CUCCAGACUCCUACGGGAGGCAGCAGUGGGGAAUAUUGCACAAUGGGGGAAACCCUGAUGCAGCGACGCCGCGUGAGCGAUGAAGUAUUUCGGUAUGUAAAGCUCUAUCAGCAGGGAAGAAAAUGACGGUACCUGACUAAGAAGCCCCGGCUAACUACGUGCCAGCAGCCGCGGUAAUACGUAGGGGGCAAGCGUUAUCCGGAUUUACUGGGUGUAAAGGGAGCGUAGACGGCUGUGCAAGCCAGAUGUGAAAGCCCGGGGCUCAACCCCGGGACUGCAUUUGGAACUGUGUGGCUGGAGUGUCGGAGAGGCAGGCGGAAUUCCUAGUGUAGCGGUGAAAUGCGUAGAUAUUAGGAGGAACACCAGUGGCGAAGGCGGCCUGCUGGACGAUGACUGACGUUGAGGCUCGAAAGCGUGGGGAGCAAACAGGAUUAGAUACCCCUGUAA
rnacentral:rRNA from 1 species